UUCAUCAGGACACCUGAGCUUUCCUUUCACAACUGCUCAUUCUCCUAAGCGCUUCUGCACCCUGCAACAGCUCCGUGUGGAAGAUGAAGCUGAAACCAAUUUUAUAGAUGGGGAAACUGAGGCCAGGAGUGCGCGAUGGGGCUGGGAACAGCAGCCGGAGUUUUCUUUCCCUUUAAGGACCUGAGAGCUCCCUGGCUGUCCUGACACUGUGCCCUGUUCUAACACCAAGACUGCUGAGCAGGAAAAGCUGUUGCAUGGAAUUCAGUGCAUCUGCUGUUAAUUUAAAUCAGUGGUUUUCAAACUGGCUCCUUCUCUUCUUUGCAGAACUCUUGGUUGACAUGUACUCUGACUCAGAAACUGACUAAGGGAGACAAAACAGGAGGCCACCUGCCUGAGGCUGCGUGGAGGAAGUGGGGGUCCCAGGCCACCUGGCUUCCGUUUCUCCACAUCCAUGUGGCCUCUGAGGCAGUUUCUCGGCCCCCUGAGAGGGGCUUCCAGGACAGAGUUUGGGCACCAUUGUUAAAAUGCAUGCUUGGGGAUUGGAGUCCUGAUCUAGGCCUUCAGCGGGUCUUAUCUCUUUGCAGGCCAAGCUGGCCAUCUUGGAAGUCCCUACACUACUACAGAGCAUCUCCCAUCCACCCAGUAGAUUUGCAACUGACCGUGUUGCCAUCCAACCCUGCAAGCCUGGGGGACAGCCUAGAGGAGGUGCCUCAAACAGAAUAAGGGUUUUCAGGGGACCCAAAGGACUCAACACUUGGCCAUUGGCUCCUGCCUCAGUUUCCCCAAACUGUGCCAGCUGAGUGUCUGGUCCACCUCCAAGUCCAGGUUUCUGUGCCAGGACCUGUGGCUGUAAUGAUCAGGACAUGGCGACGUUAUCUUGUGGUGCUGGUUUGCAGGAAGCCACGCUGAGGCCUUGGGAGGGCGAGUGGCUCGUUGUUUGAAGCGUGCAAGCUCAGUGUCCUGUUUCCUGGUCAGUUCUCCCCACGGCCCCAAACCAACACUGGGACUGACGUCUUUGAUUGGAAUGCAACGUAGGAGCUGCCCCUGACCUCCGUGCUGGAGCCCAGGUUAAAGACCAGAACACAAGGUAUAGUAAACACUGGGGACCUUGGACACGUUCCAGUUCUGCCUCUGGCCAGCGGUGUCGCCUGAAUUGACACUCUCACCUGUGCCAUGGGGUACUACUGCUGCUGCUGGGGUCCAGUGAUGAAAGGAAAUAGCCCAGCUCAGCAUACACCCUGGGGCCCAGAGAGUCCAGGUAUGAGUCUCCACCCUUCCUCUUCCUAGCAGUCGUGAGUCCUUAGGCGAUCGCACAAACUCUGAGCCCUAGCUUCCCCACCUGUAAGAUGGGCAUAAUAGCCAUACCUUCUCAAGGGGUGGUGAAAAGAUCAAGGGAGAGGAUGCAGGUGAGGGACUGGGCACACAGCGUGGCCAGCGAGGGCAGUUCUUCUCAUGCAUUUCACUCCAGGCUUUGGUGUAGCUGUGCUGGUGCAGAGCUGGGGACAGGGACCCCACUGCUUCCCACGGCGACCAGCCCCGACUCAGGAGUGGAAAUCUGCUUCGUGCAGCCUCCCGCAGUCCCACUCCCACUGCUAGUUUCAGGAAAAGGCUGGAGAGCGAAGCCAACUGGUGAUAUCGGGAGCGUUCUCCUCGUGUAGCAAGGGGUGGCCACCUUCCCUCUCCUCGAGCAUCUGAACAAAAUUCUUAGCAAUAGGCCCAGAAAUUCUCCCUUUAGGAAAUGUGUCCUGAGAGAAAACCAUGGAAGUACACUGCAAGGAUGCUCUCUAGGGACUGUUGUUUAUCAUGGCUCCAAAAUAAGAGCCAACCUAAGUGCCCAACAAUAGGGAAUUGCUUAAAGGAACUGCAGUCCCUCUCGGAAUGGACCACUGGCCGCCACUUGGAAUGACUCUGAGAAGAUACUUUAUUGACAAGGCAGUACAUGCCACCUGCCGUUCUGUGAAAAGUUUGAUAAUGAGAGUGUACUGAGUAUUUUUACAUCUAUGCCUAGGAAAUGCUCUGAAAAGAUGCAUCAUAAAACAGUAACAGCUGGGACCUCUGGAAGUACAGGUCAUUUAAAAAAUUCUUCUUUUGGCUUAUCCAUAUUUCUCAAUUUUUCUACAAUGAUUGUGUGUUAUUUGUGCAGCAAGAACACAAAACAGGUGAACGAUCAUUUUGUAGUGCUUGCGUUUUCCUCUGCUGUCUGGCUCAGGGCUCCAUGCGGACAGAGCAGAGUUCAAGGGGGCUGCACCAGGGAGAGGGUGGGCAGCCUGACCUGGGCCAAAGCUCCCAUGGGGCUGGGUGAGCACGUCGACUGCCCCGUGCGUGGGCACACCAGUUGAUGAAGGUGGAAUCCUUCUGAGAGGCCAGAGCCUGGCUUGGGUUAGGGGAGGCACUACCAUCAUCUAUAUUUUCACCACUUUGUUUAGACUCAUCAAUAUUGCCCUCCAAGGGGCCAUUCAGUGCCAGGUGUGAUGACAGACAGAUGGAAGCGAACCAGGCCCUACUCCAGAGCCCUGUCAGUUGGUGGGAGCGGGAGGCAGCUCUGCACACAGCCCUCCAAGACAUAGGGCAGACCCUGAUCAGGGUCAGUGGCAGUUUGGUGGAUGCCUCGUGUGUGUCCAGCACAUGGUAGGCCCUCGACAUACCUGACGGAAAGCCAUCCUCCCAGAAGAGCAUGACACGUUUUGCCUUGAGUUUUUUCCUGCCCCAGCUCGCACAGGAAGCUGAACACAGUGGGGCCCUCGGGAGACAUUCCACCAGCGCUCUUGUUAAGGACCAGCUCAGAUGACAGCCAGGAAGAGCAGCCGGCCCACGAUCAGCGUGGUCCUGAACGAUCGCAGAGCUGCUCCCCCCACGAUGUUCUCUGCCAUCUGGGACCCCCAGCACCAGGGCAGAGCCCAGAGUUUCCUUUGAUGCUGCAGAGCCAGGCUUUAGGGCUGCCGCAGAGGAACAACGGGCGUCAUCAAUCCACAGUGGCACCGCGGCGGGAACAAGAAACCGUUUGCCUGGCUGACACCUGCCGCGCCUCUGCAUUGACGCUGGCUCCUGGGGGCUUGCUUGUCUGCCACCUGCGCACAUAGCAUGGCCCCCUGGUAAUGGGGAAUGUAAAUGUGUGAAUGGGAGUCAGGAAGGCCAGCCCAAACGGCAGAGCCUUUCUCCAGGCGAAGCAAUCUGCAGCAAAAUAUGCUGUAAAUAUUUGUUCAGCCCAGGAAAAUGACUUUAAUUGCAUAAUUAAACUCAUUGUCGAUGCGGCUUCCGGACAAAAAAACGGCUGGGGAGAGCUAGGGCUACAGCUGUGCCUCUGAGAUUGUUGACUAGAUGGAACUGUUUGUUUGCACAGACUUAGCUGUGGCCCCAUCUUCGCUCCACACAAUGGGGGUUUGGAGAAUAGUCAGGGAGGAUGGAGGAAGGGGCUCAGUGGCUGCUAGAGAGAGGACGGGGAGGAAAAGCUUCCCAAAUCAGAGAACCAACAGCAAAGGGACUCCCCGGCCCCUGGACAGAGUUUGCCAUGUGUUUUCCAAAUGUCCUCGUGCACAUUCCAACUUCGGUGGAUAACUAGUAACUCGAACAAGUAAUCAAUUCACAGACGUAGGAAAAAAUCAGUAGAUUGAAAGAAAUUUGCUUUAGAAGAAAACACUGCAUCCCAACCAUUCGUUAAAAAACCAGCAUUCUGGGACAGACGUUGGCUCAGGUGGUUAGAGCUCAGUGUUCAUAACACCAAGGUUGCCAGUUUGAUCCCCA